CCUACGUGCGGCAGCAGUGAGGAAUAUUGGUCAAUGGACGAGAGUCUGAACCAGCCAAGUAGCGUGAAGGAUGACUGCCCUAUGGGUUGUAAACUUCUUUUAUAUGGGAAUAAAAUGUUCCACGUGUGGGAUGUUGUAUGUACCAUAUGAAUAAGGAUCGGCUAACGCCGUGCCAGCAGCCGCGGUAAUACGGGGGAUCCGCGCGUUAUCCGUAUUUAGUGGGUUUAAAGGGAGCGUAGGUGGAUUGUUAAGUCAGUUGUGAAAGUUUGCGGCUCAAACGUAAAAUUGCAGUUGAAACGGGCAGUCUUGAGUAGAGUAGAGGUGGGCGGAAUUCGUGGUGUAGCGGUGAAAUGCGUAGAUAUCACGAAGAACUCCGAUUGCGAAGGCAGCUCACUGGCCUGACACUGACACUGAGGCUCGAAAGUGUGGGUAUCAAACAGGAUUAGAUACCCUGGUAGUC
rnacentral:rRNA from 1 species